rnacentral:rRNA from 1 species
GGAUAAGCUACUAAGGGCUAACGGCGGAUGCCUUGGCAUCGGAAGGCGAAGAAGGACGUGGCAAGCUGCGAUAAGCUUCGGGGAGUCGUUAACAGGCUUUGAUCCGGAGAUUUCCGAAUGGGGCAACCCGGCAGGGUUUAUACCUUGUCAUUCAUUACUGAAUACAAUAGGUAAUGAAAGCGAACGCGGGGAAUUGAAACAUCUUAGUACCCGCAGGAAUAGAAAUCAAUUUAGAGAUUCCGUAAGUAGUGGCGAGCGAACGCGGAAUAGCCCAAACCAUGCCGGCUUGCCGGUAUGGGGUUGUAGGAGCCCGACAUGGGAUCAAAGAUAUAUAACGGAACAGUAUGGAAAGGCUGACCAUAGACGGUGAUAGUCCGGUACGUGAAAUAUAUCUUGACCCUAGGGAUUUCCUGAGUACCACGGGACACGUGAAACCCUGUGGGAAUCUGGGAGGACCAUCUUCCAAGGCUAAAUACUAACCGAUGACCGAUAGUGAACGAGUACCGUGAGGGAAAGGUGAAAAGAACCCCGGGAGGGGAGUGAAAUAGAAACUGAAACCGUUAGCUUACAAGCAGUAGGAGCACUAUGUAGCAAUACAGUGUGACUGCGUGCCUUUUGCAUAAUGAGUCAACGACUUACCCUAUGCAGCGAGGUUAAGCCGAGAGGUGGAGCCGCAGCGAAAGCGAGUCUUAACUGGGCGUUUGAGUUGUAUGGGGUAGACCCGAAGCCGGGUGAUCUAUCCAUGGCCAGGGUGAAGUCUCGGUAACACGAGAUGGAGGCCCGAACCGAUAUAGGUUGAAAACUGUUCGGAUGAGCUGUGGAUAGGAGUGAAAGGCUAAUCAAACUCGGUGAUAGCUGGUUUUCUCCGAAAUAUAUUUAGGUAUAGCCUCAUAUGUUGACUGACGGAGGUAGAGCACUGACAAGGCUAGGGGUCCCACCGGAUUACCAACCCUUAUCAAACUCCGAAUACCGUCAAGUUCUAAUAUGGGAGUCAGACUGCGGGAGAUAAGUUCCGUAGUCAAAAGGGUAAGAGCCCAGACCGUCAGCUAAGGUCCCUAAAUCUAUGCUAAGUGGAAAAGGAUGUGGAAUCGCAUAUACAACCAGGAGGUUGGCUUAGAAGCAGCAACCCUUUAAAGAAAGCGUAAUAGCUCACUGGUCCAGUGGUACCGCGCCGAAAAUUCAACGGGGCUAAGCAUAGUACCGAAGCUACGGAUAUCAGAAGACGGAGUACAGAUGACAGAAGACAGAAAAAAGAUUUCAUCAUUUGAAGAUCUACAGGUUUUUCAGUUAGCCUAUAAAAUUUCUCUGGAAAUUCAUAAAGCAAGUUUGGAAUUUCCCCAAAGAGAACAAUAUGGACUGGCCGAUCAAAUCCGCAGAGCAUCAAAAUCUAUAUGUGCCAACCUUGCUGAAGGUUUUGGGAAACAAAAUUUCUCAGUCAAGGAGUUUAAGCGAUAUAUAGCGAUUGCUCUUGGGUCGAGUGAUGAGAUGAGAGUAUGGCUUCGUUAUUGUUUCGAUCUGCAGUACAUCAAAGAAUCAGACUGGAAGGAUUGGAGAGAUAGGUAUCAACAAAUCUCAAUGAUGCUACAGGGAUUGCACAGAAGUUGGAAGUAGUUUCCGACCUCUGUCAUCUGUCCUCUGUCUUCUGAUAUGGUAGGAGAACAUUGUGGCCGCCUGAGAAGGUACACCGAAAGGAGUGCUGGAGGUUCCACAAGAGCUUAUGUUGACACGAGUAGCGAAAAUGAGGGUGAGAAACCCUCACGCCGAAAGCCUCAGGUUUCCUGUAGUCAAGUUAAUCUGCUCAGGGUUAGUCGGCCCCUAAGGCGAGGCCGAGAGGCGUAGUCGAUGGGAAACAGGUUAAUAUUCCUGUACCACUUUCAUAAUGUUUGAUGGUAAGGGGGGACGGAGAAGGUAAGGCCAUCCGGGCGUUGGUUGUCCCGGUUUAAGCGUGUAGGUGGAGAACUUUGGCAAAUCCGGGUUCUCGUUAACACCGAGGCGUGACGACGAUGUCUUUUAGACAACAAAGUGGCUGGUUCCAUGCUUCCAGGAAAAUCCUCGUAUCUAGUUAUGAAUGUGACCGUACCGCAAACCGACACAGGUAGGCAGGUAGAAGAUACUAAGGCGCUUGAGAGAACUCUGGUUAAGGAACUCGGCAAAAUAGCACCGUAACUUCGGGAGAAGGUGUGCCUGCAUGGUGUAAUAAUUUACUUAUGAAGCCUACGCAGGUUGCAGUGAAAUGGGGGGAGCGACUGUUUACUAAAAACAUAGGACUCUGCGAAGUCGAAAGACGAUGUAUAGGGUCUGACGCCUGCCCGGUGCCGGAAGGUUAAGGGGACAUGUCAGCGCAAGCGAAGCAUUGAACCGAAGCCCCGGUAAACGGCGGCCGUAACUAUAACGGUCCUAAGGUAGCGAAAUUCCUUGUCGGGUAAGUUCCGACCUGCACGAAUGGCGUAACGAUUUCCCCACUGUCUCAACCAGGGACUCAGCGAAACUGUAGCACCGGUGAAGAUGCCGGUUACCCGCAACUAGACAGAAAGACCCCGUGAACCUUUACUAUAGCUUGGCAUUGUUUUUUGAGGUAACAUGUGUAGGAUAGGUGGGAGACUUUGAAGUGGGCACGCCAGUGCUCAUGGAGUCAACCUUGAAAUACCACCCUUGUUAUCUUAGAAAUCUAACCGCGGUCCGUGAUCCGGAUCCGGGACAUUGUCUGGUGGGUAGUUUGACUGGGGCGGUCGCCUCCCAAAUUGUAACGGAGGCGCGCGAUGGUUCCCUCAGGCUGAUUGGAAACCAGCCGUAGAGUGUAAAGGCAUAAGGGAGCUUGACUGCGAGAGAGACAUCUCGAGCAGGUACGAAAGUAGGUCUUAGUGAUCCGGCGAUUCCGCAUGGAAGGGUCGUCGCUCAACGGAUAAAAGGUACUCCGGGGAUAACAGGCUUAUCUCCCCCAAGAGUCCAUAUCGACGGGGAGGUUUGGCACCUCGAUGUCGGCUCAUCACAUCCUGGGGCUGUAGCAGGUCCCAAGGGUUUGGCUGUUCGCCAAUUAAAGUGGUACGUGAGCUGGGUUUAAAACGUCGUGAGACAGUUUGGUCCUUAUCUGUUGCGGGCGCAGGAUAUUUGAGGAGAUCUUUCCCUAGUACGAGAGGACCGGGAUGGACGAACCUAUGGUGUACCAGUUGUUCCGCCAGGAGCAUCGCUGGGUAGCUAUGUUCGGCAGGGAUAACCGCUGAAAGCAUCUAAGCGGGAAGCCUACUUCAAGAUAAGAUAUCCCAUGGCGUAAAGUCAUCUGAAGGCUCGUGGUAGACCACCACGUCGAUAGGUCGGGUGUGGAAGUGCAGUAAUGCAUGCAGCUUACCGAUACUAAUCAGCCGUGCGGCUUAUCCAU